GACGAACGCUGGCGGCGUGCUUAACACAUGCCAGUCGAACGGAAAGGCCCCUUUGGGGGUACUCGAGUGGCGAACGGGUGAGUAACACGUGAGUAACCUGCCCUUGACUUCGGGAUAACUUCAGGAAACUGGGGCUAAUACCGGAUAGGAAUCCUUGCUGCAUGGUGGGGGUUGGAAAGCUUCGGCGGUUUUGGAUGGACUCGCGGCUUAUCAGCUUGUUGGUGGGGUAGUGGCUUACCAAGGCGUCGACGGGUAGCCGGCCUGAGAGGGCGACCGGCCACAUUGGGACUGAGAUGCGGCCCAGACUCCUACGGGAGGCAGCAGUGGGGAAUAUUGCACAAUGGGCGGAAGCCUGAUGCAGCAACGCCGCGUGCGGGAUGACGGCCUUCGGGUUGUAAACCGCUUUCAGCAGGGGCGAAGCUUGUGGUGACGGUACCUGCAGAAGAAGCACCGGCUAACUACGUG
rnacentral:rRNA from 1 species